rnacentral:rRNA from 1 species
UNAACGCUGGCGGCGUGCUUAACACAUGCAAGUCGAACGAGAACGGAUUAUAGCUUGCUAUAAUUGUCAGCUAAGUGGCGCACGGGUGAGUAAUAUAUAGGUAACGUGCCCCAAAGAAGAGGAUAACAGUUGGAAACGAUUGCUAAGACUCUAUAUGCCUUUAUGACAUAAGUCAGCAAGGGAAAUAUUUAUAGCUUUGGGAUCGGCCUGUACAGUAUCAGUUAGUUGGUGAGGUAAUGGCUCACCAAGACAAUGACGCUUAACUGGUUUGAGAGGAUGAUCAGUCACACUGGAACUGAGACACGGUCCAGACUCCUACGGGAGGCAGCAGUGGGGAAUAUUGCACAAUGGACGAAAGUCUGAUGCAGCAACGCCGCGUGGAGGAUGACACAUUUCGGUGCGUAAACUCCUUUUAUAUAGGAAGAUAAUGACGGUACUAUAUGAAUAAGCACCGGCUAACUCCGUG